rnacentral:lncRNA from 1 species
AACUUGUCAUCAAAUUCGUUAGUGCCGAGCAAACUCUCCUUGUACAAAAGAACCAACAAUGGUUGCUUUAACAACAUCGAUUUCCUAACUUCUCUCUCUUUCAUAUACAAACUCUUUUUUUCAUUUUCAUCACUCGUUUCUUUUGUGUUUUCUUUUGAAUCACUCUUUUUUUUUUAUCACUCAUCUUUUUGUUUUUCCUCUUU